rnacentral:rRNA from 1 species
UACAGAGGGUGCAAGCGUUAAUCGGAAUUACUGGGCGUAAAGCGUGCGUAGACGGUUAUGUAAGUCAGGUGUGGAAGCCCCGGGCUCAACCUGGGAAUGGCAUUUGAGACUGCAUAGCUAGGGUGCGGAAGAGGGAAGCGGAAUUUCCGGUGUAGCGGUGAAAUGCGUAGAUAUCGGAAGGAACAUCAGUGGCGAAAGCGGCUUCCUGGUCCAGCACCGACGUUCAGGCACGAAAGCGUGGGGAGCAAACAGG